UACGAAGGGGGCUAGCGUUGCUCGGAAUCACUGGGCGUAAAGGGUGCGUAGGCGGGUCUUUAAGUCAGGGGUGAAAUCCUGGAGCUCAACUCCAGAACUGCCUUUGAUACUGAAGAUCUUGAGUUCGGGAGAGGUGAGUAGGAACUGCGAGUGUAGAGGUGAAAUUCGUAGAUAUUCGCAAGAACACCAGUGGCGAAGGCGGCUCACUGGCCCGAUACUGACGCUGAGGCACGAAAGCGUGGGGAGCAAACAGGG
rnacentral:rRNA from 1 species